CAUUUGACGAGUAAAAAGCCGAAGAAAGGUGUUGUGCGCGUUCAGCCGUUUUUAGUGUCGGUCGCCGUAAAAAAAUCUAUUGUAUUUUAGUAAAUAAAUUAUUGGUCAAUAUAAAAAAUAACAAAAAAAAUUUAGUUUUCCAACAAAAAAAGAUAAUUUCAACAAAAUUAUCUAGAAAUAUAAAUGAUUAACAAGUGAUGACGAAAUUUUCGAUGAUUAAAAUUUAUAAAAAAGAAAGAUAAAGAAAAAAUAGUUCAUUAUUAUUUUUUGUUAAAAUAACAACAAAAUUUUCUUUAACUUGUUUUACAACUA